rnacentral:misc_RNA from 1 species
UGGUUCUGGCAUCGAUGAAGAACGCAGCGAAAUGCGAUAAGUAAUGUGAAUUGCAGAAUUCAGUGAAUCAUCGAAUCUUUGGACGCACAUUGCGCCCGCUGGUAUUCCAGCGGGCAUCCCUGUUCGAGCGUCAUUUCAACCCUCAAGCCUCCCCCCCCCGGGGGGCUUGGUGUUGGGGCGCUGCCGAGGCCCGAACCGCCCCUCCCUUCCCCCCUCCCCCGGGAGGGGAAGGGGGGGGGGCGGCGGCGGCGCGGCAGGCCCUCAAACCCAGUGGCGAGCUCCCCAGGACCCCGAGCGUAGUAGUUUAAAAAGCCUCGCUUUGGGCGGACUGGCGGUGCCCUGCCGUUAAAAAUCCCUAUAUUUUAAAAUGGUUGACCUCGGAUCAGGUAGGAAUACCCGCUGA